rnacentral:rRNA from 1 species
AUACGGAAGGUCCGGGCGUUAUCCGGAUUUAUUGGGUUUAAAGGGAGCGUAGGCCGCCCCUUAAGCGUGUUGUGAAAUGCCGCGGCUCAACCGUGGCACUGCAGCGCGAACUGGGGGGCUUGAGUGCGCGCAGCGAAGGCGGAAUUCGUGGUGUAGCGGUGAAAUGCUUAGAUAUCACGAAGAACUCCGAUCGCGAAGGCAGCCUUCGGGAGCGCAACUGACGCUGAAGCUCGAAAGUGCGGGUAUCGAACAGGAUUAGAUACCCUGGUAGUCCGCACGGUAAACGAUGGAUGCCCGCUCUGCCGCCUUGUGGUGGCGGGGCCAAGCGAAAGCAUUAAGCAUCCCACCUGGGGAGUACGCCGGCAACGGUGAAACUCAAAGGAAUUGACGGGG